UUCAGAGGUCCCGAGCGUUGUUCGGAUUCAUUGGGCGUAAAGGGUGCGUAGGUGGCGCUGUAAGUCGGGUGUGAAAUUUCGGAGCUUAACUCCGAAACUGCAUUCGAUACUGCGGUGCUUGAGGACUGGAGAGGAGACUGGAAUUCAUGGUGUAGCAGUGAAAUGCGUAGAUAUCGUGAGGAAGACCAGUUGCGAAGGCGACUCUCUGGGCAGUUCCUGACACUGAGGCACGAAGGCCAGGGGAGCAAACGGG
rnacentral:rRNA from 1 species